rnacentral:snRNA from 1 species
GUGCUUGUUUCGGCAGCACAUAUACUAGAGUUGGAAUGAUACAGAGAUUAGCAUGGCCCCUGCACAAGGAUGACAUGCACAUUCAUGAAGCGUCCCAUAUCUCU